rnacentral:rRNA from 1 species
CCUACGGGAGGCAGCAGUGGGGAAUUUUGGACAAUGGGCGCAAGCCUGAUCCAGCCAUGCCGCGUGUGGGAAGAAGGCCUUCGGGUUGUAAACCACUUUUGUCAGGGAAGAAACGGUCUGAACUAAUACUUUGGACUAAUGACGGUACCUGAAGAAUAAGCACCGGCUAACUACGUGCCAGCAGCCGCGGUAAUACGUAGGGUGCAAGCGUUAAUCGGAAUUACUGGGCGUAAAGCGUGCGCAGGCGGCUUUGCAAGACAGAUGUGAAAUCCCCGGGCUCAACCUGGGAACUGCAUUUGUGACUGCAUGGCUAGAGUACGGUAGAGGGGGAUGGAAUUCCGCGUGUAGCAGUGAAAUGCGUAGAUAUGCGGAGGAACACCGAUGGCGAAGGCAAUCCCCUGGACCUGUACUGACGCUCAUGCACGAAAGCGUGGGGAGCAAACAGGAUUAGAUACCCUGGUAGUCCACGCCCUAAACGAUGUCAACUGGUUGUUGGGAGGGUUUCUUCUCAGUAACGAAGCUAACGCGUGAAGUUGACCGCCUGGGGAGUACGGCCGCAAGGUUGAAACUCAAAUUGAAUUGACCGGNUGAGAGNGCGAGACGACGACGAGGAGGAGG